UCGCCUGUUUUAUCAAAAACAUCGCCUCUUGCAAAAUCAAUGAAUAAGAGGUCCCGCCUGCCCUGUGACUAUAAGUUUAACGGCCGCGGUAUUUUGACCGUGCGAAGGUAGCGCAAUCACUUGUCUUUUAAAUGGAGACCUGUAUGAAUGGCAUAACGAGGGCUUAGCUGUCUCCUAUUUCCAGUCAAUGAAAUUGAUCUCCCCGUGCAGAAGCGGGGAUACACACAUAAGACGAGAAGACCCUAUGGAGCUUUAGACACCAAGACAGACCAUGUUAAACAACCCAAAACAAAGGACCAAACCAAAUGAUCCCUGUCCUAAUGUCUUUGGUUGGGGCGACCGCGGGGAAACACAAAACCCCCAUGUGGAACGAGAACACCUCCUCUCACAACCAAGAGCUCCCGCUCUAGUAAACAGAAAUUCUGACCAAUCAGAUCCGGCAUAAGCCGAUCAACGGACCGAGUUACCCUAGGGAUAACAGCGCAAUCCCCUUUUAGAGGCCAUAUCGACAAGGGGGUUUACGACCUCGAUGUUGGAUCAGGACAUCCUAAUGGUGCAGCCGCUAUUAAGGGUUCGUUUGUUCAACGAUUAAAGUCCUACGUGAUCUGAGUUCAGACCGGA
rnacentral:rRNA from 1 species